GUUGACCUCGGAUCAGGUAGGAAUACCCGCUGAACUUAAC
rnacentral:rRNA from 2 species